AACGAACGCUGGCGGCAUGCCUAACACAUGCAAGUCGAACGAGACCUUCGGGUCUAGUGGCGCACGGGCGCGUAACGCGUGGGAAUCUGCCCUUGGGUUCGGAAUAACAGUUAGAAAUGACUGCUAAUACCGGAUGAUGACUUCGGUCCAAAGAUUUAUCGCCCAAGGAUGAGCCCGCGUAGGAUUAGCUAGUUGGUAGGGUAAAGGCCUACCAAGGCGACGAUCCUUAGCUGGUCUGAGAGGAUGAUCAGCCACACUGGGACUGAGACACGGCCCAGACUCCCACGGGAGGCAGCAGUGGGGAAUAUUGGACAAUGGGCGAAAGCCUGAUCCAGCAAUGCCGCGUGAGUGAUGAAGGCCCUAGGGUUGUAAAGCUCUUUUACCCGGGAUGAUAAUGACAGUACCGGGAGAAUAAGCCCCGGCUAACUCCGUGCCAGCCGCCGCAGUAAUAC
rnacentral:rRNA from 1 species